GUUUUAAGGGAUAAUUUGAAGUUCACCUACAACUUUGAAUUGGCGGGUUUUCUCCUAGACAGAUAUGUACAAAGCCAGCACUCAGUUAAAUGUACUUCUACUCCUGUGCACAGCCAGGCAGACCAGAAGCCUUUUACGGGAAAA